UACGUAGGGUGCGAGCGUUAAUCGGAAUUACUGGGCGUAAAGCGUGCGCAGGCGGUUCGUUGUGUCGGCGGUGAAAGCCCCGGGCUUAACCUGGGAAUGGCCGUCGAAACUGGCGAACUGGAGUGUGGCAGAGGGGGGUGGAAUUCCGCGUGUAGCGGUGAAAUGCGUAGAUAUUGCCCGGAAGGCCAACGGCGAAGGCAGGUUACUGGUACGCAACUGACGCUGAGGCACGAAAGCGUGGGGAGCAAACAGG
rnacentral:rRNA from 1 species